rnacentral:rRNA from 1 species
AUGAACGCUGGCGGCGUGCCUAACACAUGCAAGUCGAACGGAGCUGCUUUGAUGAAGUUUUCGGAUGAAUUUAAAACAGCUUAGUGGCGGACGGGUGAGUAACGCGUGGGUAACCUGCCUCACACUGGGGGAUAACAGUUAGAAAUAGCUGCUAAUACCGCAUAAGCGCACAGUUCCGCAUGGAACAGUGUGAAAAACUCCGGUGGUGUGAGAUGGACCCGCGUCUGAUUAGCCAGUUGGCGGGGUAACGGCCCACCAAAGCGACGAUCAGUAGCCGGCCUGAGAGGGUGAACGGCCACAUUGGGACUGAGACACGGCCCAAACUCCUACGGGAGGCAGCAGUGGGGAAUAUUGCACAAUGGGGGAAACCCUGAUGCAGCGACGCCGCGUGAGUGAAGAAGUAUUUCGGUAUGUAAAGCUCUAUCAGCAGGGAAGAAAGUGACGGUACCUGAAUAAGAAGCCCCGGCUAACUACGUGCCAGCAGCCGCGGUAAUACGUAGGGGGCAAGCGUUAUCCGGAUUUACUGGGUGUAAAGGGAGCGUAGACGGCAAGGCAAGUCUGAAGUGAAAGCCCGGUGCUUAACGCCGGGACUGCUUUGGAAACUGUUUAGCUGGAGUGCCGGAGAGGUAAGCGGAAUUCCUAGUGUAGCGGUGAAAUGCGUAGAUAUUAGGAAGAACACCAGUGGCGAAGGCGGCUUACUGGACGGUAACUGACGUUGAGGCUCGAAAGCGUGGGGAGCAAACAGGAUUAGAUACCCUGGUAGUCCACGCCGUAAACGAUGAGUGCUAGGUGUUAGGCCCUUUCCGGGGCUUAGUGCCGGAGCUAACGCAAUAAGCACUCCGCCUGGGGAGUACGACCGCAAGGUUGAAACUCAAAGGAAUUGACGGGCACCCGCACAAGCGGUGGAGCAUGCUGUUUAAUUCGAAAAUACGCGAAGAACCUUACCUAGGUUUGACAUCCCCGGCAAAGCUAUAGAAAUAUAGUGGAGGUUAUCCGGGUGACAGGUGGUGCAUGGUUGUCGUCAGCUCGUGUCGUGAGAUGUUGGGUUAAGUCCCGCAACGAGCGCAACCCCUAUUGUUAGUUGCCAUCAUUAAGUUGGGCACUCUAGCGAGACUGCCGGUAAUAAACCGGAGGAAGGUGGGGAUGACGUCAAAUCAUCAUGCCCCUUAUGACCUGGGCUACACACGUGCUACAAUGGCGUAACAAAGGGAAGCGAGCCUGCGAGGGUGAGCAAAUCCCAAAAAUAACGUCCCAGUUCGGACUGUAGUCUGCAACCCGACUACACGAAGCUGGAAUCGCUAGUAAUCGCGAAUCAGAAUGUCGCGGUGAAUACGUUCCCGGGUCUUGUACACACCGCCCGUCACACCAUGGGAGUCGGAAAUGCCCGAAGUCUGUGACUCAACCGCAAGGAGAGAGCAGCCGAAGGCAGGUCUGAUAACUGGGGUG